GCAUAUCAAUAAGCGGAGGAAAAGAAACCAACAGGGAUUGCCCUUAGUAACGGCGAAGUGAAGCGGCAACAGCUCAAAUUUGAAAUCUGGCUUCGGCCCGAGUUGUAAUUUGUAGAGGAUGCUUUUGGUGAGGUGCCUUCUGAGUUCCCUGGAACGGGACGCCAGAGAGGGUGAGAGCCCCGUAUAGUCGGCCACCGAUCCUCUGUAAAGCUCCUUCGACGAGUCGAGUAGUUUGGGAAUGCUGCUCAAAAUGGGAGGUAUAUCUCUUCUAAAGCUAAAUAUUGGCCAGAGACCGAUAGCGCACAAGUAGAGUGAUCGAAAGAUGAAAAGCACUUUGAAAAGAGGGUUAAAUAGCACGUGAAAUUGUUGAAAGGGAAGCGCUUGUGACCAGACUUGUGCCGGGCUGAUCAUCCAGUGUUCUCACUGGUGCACUCGACCCGGCUCAGGCCAGCGUCGGUUCUCGUAGGGGGAUAAAAGCUUCGGGAACGUGGCACCUUCGGGUGUGUUAUAGCCCGUUGCUUAAUACCCUUGUGGGGACCGAGGUUCGCGCUCUGCAAGGACGCUGGCAUAAUGGUCAUCAGCGACCCGUCUUGAAACACGGACCAAGGAGUCGAGGUUUUGCGCGAGUGUUUGGGUGUAAAACCCGCACGCGUAAUGAAAGUGAACGUAGGUGAGAGCUUCGGCGCAUCAUCGACCGAUCCUGAUGUAUUCGGAUGGAUUUGAGUAAGAGCGUAUAGCCUCGGACCCGAAAGAUGGUGAACUAUGCCUGAAUAGGGUGAAGCCAGAGGAAGCUCUGGUGGAGGCUCGCAGCGGUUCUGACGUGCAAAUCGAUCGUCAAAUUUGGGCAUGGGGGGCGAAAGACUAAUCGAACCAUCUAGUAGCUGGUUACCGCCGAA
rnacentral:rRNA from 1 species